rnacentral:rRNA from 1 species
UACGUAGGGGGCAAGCGUUGUCCGGAUUUAUUGGGCGUAAAGAGCGUGUAGGCGGCCUUACAGGUCAGCUGUGAAAACUCGAGGCUCAACCUCGAGACGUCGGUUGAAACCGUAGGGCUAGAGUCCGGAAGAGGAGAGUGGAAUUCCCGGUGUAGCGGUGAAAUGCGCAGAUAUCGGGAAGAACACCCGUGGCGAAGGCGGCUCUCUGGGCCAUUACUGACGCUGAGGAGCGAAAGCGUGGGGAGCGAACAGG